rnacentral:rRNA from 1 species
UACGUAGGUUGCGAGCGUUGUCCGGAAUUAUUGGGCGUAAAGAGCUCGUAGGCGGUGUGUCACGUCGUUCGUGAAAACCUGCAGCUUAACUGUGGGCGUGCGGUCGAUACGGGCAUCACUGGAGUUCGGCAGGGGAGACUGGAAUUCCUGGUGUAGCGGUGAAAUGCGCAGAUAUCAGGAGGAACACCGGUGGCGAAGGCGGGUCUCUGGGCUGACACUGACGCUGAGGCGCGAAAGCUAGGGGAGCGAACGGG